CUUGUAAAUCUCAUGGAAGAACGAAUGAUAGAAGUUGAGCAAAAACUAAAGCUGGUGAAAAGGCUUCUUCAAGAAAAAGUGAAUCAGCUCAAAGAGCAACUCUGCAAGAAUUCAAAAACAGAUGCCAUGGUGAAGGAUUUGUAUGUUGAAAACGCCCAGUUGUUGAAAGCUUUGGAAAUGACUGAACAGCGACAGAAGACAGCAGAGAAGAAAAAUUUCCUCCUAGAAGAGAAGAUUGCCAGCCUCAGUACCAUUGUCAGGAACCUGGCCCCAGCACCACUGACUUCUAUGCCUCCUCUGAGGUCAUAGCCAGCCCGAAGGAUGCAUACCAAAGGAUGCACUUUACUGACACUGUAGGAAUGUGUUAAUAGGUCCUCCAAACCCUCCAACUAAAAAACUUCAAUGGCUUAAAACCAAGCCUCCCCGAAGUCUGCCAGCAAGGAAAUUGGAGGCUCCAAAUGGGUGCUUACUGGAAUUCCACAAAUCACUAUUUAAAUUUUGCUAUUUAAAUUAUUCAUAAGCACUGAACUUUUAAAGUAUGCUCUGGAUCGCUACCAAGAAUGAAAUUAACUUAGCCUUAAAGUCCUAGUUUUUAAUGUUUCUAAAUUGCUGUUAUCUGUGUAUGCAAUCAAGGGACCUUUUAAGUUUG
rnacentral:lncRNA from 1 species